rnacentral:rRNA from 1 species
GACGAACGCUGGCGGCGUGCUUAACACAUGCAAGUCGAACGAAGAGCGAUGGAAGCUUGCUUCUAUCAAUCUUAGUGGCGAACGGGUGAGUAACGCGUAAUCAACCUGCCCUUCAGAGGGGGACAACAGUUGGAAACGACUGCUAAUACCGCAUACGAUCUAAUCUCGGCAUCGAGGAUAGAUGAAAGGUGGCCUCUACAUGUAAGCUAUCACUGAAGGAGGGGAUUGCGUCUGAUUAGCUAGUUGGAGGGGUAACGGCCCACCAAGGCGAUGAUCAGUAGCCGGUCUGAGAGGAUGAACGGCCACAUUGGGACUGAGACACGGCCCAGACUCCUACGGGAGGCAGCAGUGGGGAAUCUUCCGCAAUGGACGAAAGUCUGACGGAGCAACGCCGCGUGAGUGAUGACGGCCUUCGGGUUGUAAAGCUCUGUUAAUCGGGACGAAAGGCCUUCUUGCGAACAGUUAGAAGGAUUGACGGUACCGGAAGAGAAAGCCACGGCUAACUACGUG